GUCUGGACUCCAGUUGGACUCUCAGAGCAGCCCUGAGACCUCAGACGCCCUUCUCUCUGAGGGGAGCCCAUCAAAUGAGCUCUGCUGUCUGCAGACAUCCACACCGGCAGGAGGACCCAGGCCUCUAGUCACUUUUCCCAGAUGCUUCGUGCCUUUGGUGUGAGAUUUCCAGAGGAUUCCCAAGCUGUACAGACUACAUGUUGUCCUCAGCUUGAAUCUCGAUGUCAGCAUUCCUGUGGUCUGAUGAUCGACCCGUGUCCAUCACAGCCCCACCAGGAAAGCAGCCUCUCCCAGAGGUAACUGAAGAAGCACUGUACACCACGUCAUCUCCCCGCCUCCUCGCUGGACUCGGAGCUUCUCACUUGCUGGCCGUGGGCCGGGUGGGUCUACAGGGAUAAAGAAUGUGCACGCCAGACGUGAUGUUCGUUUUCUGAUAAUCAAUGGAUUUUAUGCAUCUGCCAAGAGUUGUGAACGGGCGAUAUGAUAUAUAGAUAGUCGGCAACUAAAUUUCAUCUCGCUCAUCAGUGCUGAUGGACAGGAAGUGGAUGCAGGAGAACUGGAUUCAGAGGACGUGAAAAUUAACCUGGUUUUGCCGUGUUCCUGGGCACCUGCCUCCAUGCACACCUGAGUUCAGGAGCCAUGUCCCUCCACUAGAGGGCGGGCAUCGUAGACGCCUGCUACGCCACCUGGGCUGUCGCGUGUGUUCCGGCCUCAGCCCUGGAGAAGGUAAGAGCUGGUGCCUGCAGGUCUUAAGUGCUCUGCCCGCUGUGUCGCAACCAUAAGCGAGCCGGGAAGGGAGCUUUCACUCAAGAGCCAGCUGCUGGCUGGAUCGAUGCAGAAGGCGAGGCAUGGACACAAAGAGAUACUUUGUGCUGGUGACGAUGCUGAUGAUAGCAAUACAGUCCUUUCUGGGACGUUCGCAGUGCGCCGGGCACAGCACUAAGAAUAUUACACGGCUAUCUUAUUCAGUCCUCCCAACAGCCUUCUGAGAUGGACCCAUUGUUCUGCCCAAUUUGCUGCAGAUGAGCGCUGCCAACAACUUAUAAGCUAGGAAUAAACAGAUGAGGGAAAUCAUCACCAAAGAGAACCUCUUGGGAGUGUAAAAUGGGGCCACCUUUGGAAAAUAGCCCAGAAGUUCCUCACACUGUGAAACCUGGAGUGACCACAGGCCCCAGCCGCUCCAGCCUCGGGGUUCCUCUCUCUCAUCUCCCCCUGGGCACUGGCAUGUUCCAUCCCUGCUCAGCAAUCAUUCUGUCCACAACAUUCUAAUCAGCACUGAAUUAUCCCAUUGGACACAGAACACAAGAGUGGUUCCUCCUGGCUUCAGGACCUGUCACUGUCCAUUGGAAGGUCAUCUGUCCAAGUCAAGGAGACCCUGGCCAGGGCUGCAGCCCAUCCUCCUGGGGGCUGGAGGGUGCCAGCAUCCUCAGCCCUGGGAUCUUUCUCUUGGCCUGUGGCUGCUGGUCCAGCCGCCAAUGCCAAGAGCUAACAACCACAGUGGACGCAAGAAGGUUCCCACCUCAGUGACCUGGCGGGGGUGUGUGUGUGUGUGCGUGUGUGUGAGAAACGGGCAGGUGUGUAUGUGUGUGAAAUGGGCAGGGGUGUGUGUGUAUGUGAAAUGGGCAGGUGAGUGUACAAUGAGCAGGUGUGUGUGUGUGUGAAUGGGCAGGUAUGUGUGUGUGUGAAAGGGCAGGUGUGUGUGGGAGAAACAAGCAGGUGUGUAUGUGUGUGAAAUGGGCAGGGGUGUGUGUGUAUGUGUGAAAUGGGAAGGUGUGUGUGUAUGUGAAAUGGACAGGUGAGUGUGAAAUGGGCAGGUGUGUGUAUGUGUGAAACAGGUAGGGGUGUGUGUGUGUGAAUGGGCAGGGGUGAGUGUGUGUGUGUGUGUAUGUGUGUGAAUGGGCAGGUGCGUGUGUGUGUGUGUGUGUGUUGUGUGUGUGAGAAAUGGGCAAGGGUGUUGCUGCAGAGAUGAAAUCUGACCUACGUGGGCUCCACAGCAGCUCCUCUCCCGCAUUCCCUUACCCAUGGAUGCCAGGGCCGUGCAGCCUGACCACCCAUCACAGACCACCAGCAAACAGGCCGAGUGAAGGACAUCAUUACCACAGCGAGAGGCUAGCUGAUGGGCACCCCACGACCCCUGAGACCCGUCUCCAUGGUGGGAACCCUGCCGGGCGAAAUGGCAGAAGCACAGGUAGUGCCCGUGUGGCACCCUGGUGUCCCAGACUCAGAAGCACCCAGGGCAGGCAGGGAGUAGGGUCCAGUUACCCCAGUGAAAGCAGCUGGGGAGGGUCCACUGGCGUCAGGAAUCCCUGGGCCUCAGACACGACUACAUGGCUGUGGGCCACUGACCAUUCACAUAACCUCUCUGAGCUUCAAGUGUCCCAACUGCAAACCGGGAUUUCUGCUGCUUACUUUAAAGAGCUGUUGUGAGCGUUGGAUGAGCAAAUGCCUGGUUAGCAAAUCAAUGUAGAAACGAUGCCGGUCGCACCUGUGUGUGCUGCACACCAGGCUCCGUGUUGGGAGAUCACACACCCUCAAGCACACAGACGCACACACUCUGGAUGUUCAUUAAGCUCCUGCUCUGUGCAUGGAGUCCCCCUGCUGAUACAGAAAUGUCACCUGCCCUCAUGUAGGUGACAGUCAACUCCAAGAGACAGGAAGCAGGCAAACAAGUAAAGUAAACAAGUAAAGAGAUGAGCAGUGUAUUUUCAGUAGUGGCAAGCACUGCAGAGAAGAAUAACCAUAACAAAUCCAGAUAAGGAGACGUAGGGCGAUCCGUUUGAGGAGGCUCUGUUUUUAGACUUAGGGGGUCAGGAAAGGCCUCCCUCUGGAAGUAGGUGCUGCCCAGGCCCAGACCUGACCAGCAGGGAGAAAGCAGCCACCUUGGGCUCUAGAGGCAGGGCCUUCCAUGAGCACCAGCCCCCACUUCCCAGCUCCGAUGCAGGUGCUGGACUUGGAGACCUGCCUGGCACCCUGUGGCCCUGGGGACAGGAAGGCAGGACCAGCACCUGCUCUGCUUUCUCC
ensembl:lncRNA